AACGAACGCUGGCGGCAGGCUUAACACAUGCAAGUCGAACGGUUGUAGCAAUACAGCAGUGGCGCACGGGUGAGUAACGCGUGGAUAUCUGCCUUUUGGUUCGGAAUAACUCCGGGAAACUGGAGCUAAUACCGGAUGGUUCCUACGGGAUAAAGAUUUAUCGCCAAAAAGAUGAGUCCGCGUACGAUUAGCUAGUUGGUGAGGUAAUGGCUCACCAAGGCGACGAUCGUUAGCUGGUCUGAGAGGACGAUCAGCCACACUGGGACUGAGACACGGCCCAGACUCCUACGGGAGGCAGCAGUGGGGAAUAUUGGACAAUGGGGGCAACCCUGAUCCAGCAAUGCCGCGUGUGUGAAGAAGGCCUGCGGGUUGUAAAGCACUUUCAGUGGGAAGAACAGAUUCGGGUCAAUACCCCGGAGCCCUGACGUUACCCACAGAAGAAGCACCGGCUAACUCCGUGCCAGCAGCCGCGGUAAUGUGUGACUG
rnacentral:rRNA from 1 species